rnacentral:rRNA from 1 species
GAUGAACGCUAGCGGCAGGCUUAAUACAUGCAAGUCGAGGGGCAGCAGUCCCGCAGCAAUGCGGGAGCUGGCGACCGGCAAACGGGUGCGGAACACGUACAGAACCUUCCUUCGAGCGGGGAAUAGCCCAGAGAAAUUUGGAUCAAUACCCCAUAGCAUUACGAAGUGGCAUCACUUUGUAAUUAAAGAUUUAUCACUCGAAGAUGGCUGUGCGGCUGAUUAGGUAGUUGGCGGAGUAACGGCCCACCAAGCCUUCCGAUCAGUAACUGGUGUGAGAGCACGACCAGUCACACGGGCACU